AAGAGGCUAUAGUCAAUAAUGAUAUAUGAUUUGCAUUCAUGAGGAGUUCUUAUAGAACUAGCUUC
rnacentral:tRNA from 1 species